AGCAGCUAGCACCACCAAUAUGCUUCCUAGGGAUGACACCUGUUGGUUUAAUACAAGUGCAGAGGAUGGAUUGAUCGUGGCCUAAGAUAUGAACCAGUUCACUUCACCAUUACAUGAGGCUCCAUUCAGCCAAUGGAUGCCUGGUACUUCUAGAUGAUGUGACUCGGGAAAAGGGCGGUGUCACAGGGACGCUGGCAGAAGCGAAGAAGAAGCCAAAAGAGAAGCCGAGAAAGAAGCAGCAGAAGCCAGAAGAGAAGCCAAGAGAAGGCCGGAGAGCCCAGAUAGAGUGAAGACUUGCUGGGGGCUGGGAGGACUGCCAGCCUCCCGGCCCCCCAGCACCCCUGCCUGCCGUAUGCCUGGUGAACCCCAAUAAAAGACCUGCAUA